CAACUGAUAUCACACUUUAAAACACAAUAAAUUUAAAACCUAACUUGGAUUUGGUUUUAAAAAAAAAUCAUUUGAGAGUUGAUAUGGUUUAUCACUAUUAUCAAACUUAAUCUGAUCUAGGACUCGAUUGACUCGGGUUCAGUUUAACCUACUUGAUUGACUCGGGUUCAGUUUAACCUACUUGAUCUGUGAUUCAAAACUUGUAUUAGGUCAACAUUAGAUGAAGUUUAACAAUGAUUUUAGUGAUCUUUUUAUUUAUCAUUGAG
rnacentral:lncRNA from 1 species